GACGAACGCUGGCGGCGUGCCUAACACAUGCAAGUCGAGCGGUAAGGCCCUUCGGGGUACACGAGCGGCGAACGGGUGAGUAACACGUGGGCAACCUGCCCUGCACACUGGGAUAAGCCUGGGAAACUAGGUCUAAUACCGGAUACGACCUCGCGAGGUAUCUCGCAAGGUGGAAAGUUCCGGCGGUGCAGGAUGGGCCCGCGGCCUAUCAGCUUGUUGGUGGGGUAACGGCCUACCAAGGCGACGAUCCGUAGCUGGUCUGAGAGGAUGAUCAGCCACACUGGAACUGAGACACGGUCCAGACUCCUACGGGAGGCAGCAGUGGGGAAUAUUGGACAAUGGGCGCAAGCCUGAUCCAGCCAUGCCGCGUGAGUGAUGACGGCCUUCGGGUUGUAAACCUCUUUCAGCAGGGACGAAGCGCAAGUGACGGUACCUGCAGAAGAAGCGCCGGCUAACUACGUGCCAGCAGCCGCGGUAAUACGUAGGGUGCGAGCGUUGUCCGGAAUUAUUGGGCGUAAAGAGCUCGUAGGCGGUGUGUCGCGUCGAUCGUGAAAACUUUCAGCUUAACUGGGAGCUUGCGGUCGAUACGGGCAUCACUGGAGUUCGGCAGGGGAGACUGGAAUUCAAGGU
rnacentral:rRNA from 1 species